CGUAGGGUGCGAACGUUAAUCGGAAUUACUGGGCGUAAAGCGUGCGCAGGCGGUUUUGUAAGACAGGCGUGAAAUCCCCGGGCUCAACCUGGGAACUGCGCUUGUGACUGCAAGGCUAGAGUACGGCAGAGGGGGGUGGAAUUCCACGUGUAGCAGUGAAAUGCGUAGAGAUGUGGAGGAACACCAAUGGCGAAGGCAGCCCCCUGGGUCGAUACUGACGCUCAUGCACGAAAGCGUGGGUAGCAAACAGGAUUAGAUACCCUGGUAGUCCACGCCCUAAACGAUGUCAACUAGGUGUUGGGUGGGUAAAACCAUUUAGUACCGGAGCUAACGCGUGAAGUUGACCGCCUGGGGAGUACGGCCGCAAGGUUA
rnacentral:rRNA from 1 species